rnacentral:sRNA from 1 species
UUAGUUAUUGAUAUAGAUUCAGUUCUAG